UACGAAGGGGACUAGCGUUGUUCGGAAUCACUGGGCGUAAAGCGCACGUAGGCGGAUAUGUCAGUCAGGGGUGAAAUCCCGGGGCUCAACCUCGGAACUGCCCUUGAUACAGCAUAUCUUGAGUCCGAUAGAGGUGGGUGGAAUUCCUAGUGUAGAGGUGAAAUUCGUAGAUAUUAGGAAGAACACCGGUGGCGAAGGCGGCCUACUGGACCAACACUGACACUGAGGAGCGAAAGCCAGGGGAGCAAACGGG
rnacentral:rRNA from 1 species